GACGUAGGGGGCCAGCGUUGCUCGGAAUUACUGGGCGUAAAGGGUCCGUAGGCGGUGCGGUAAGUCGGGAGUGAAAUCUCUGGGCUUAACUCAGAGGCUGCUUCCGAAACUACCGUGCUAGAGUGCGAGAGAGGCAAGUGGAAUUGCGGGUGUAGCGGUGAAAUGCGUAGAUAUCCGCAGGAACAUCCGAGGCGAAAGCGGCUUGCUGGAUCGCAACUGACGCUGAGGGACGAAAGCUAGGGAGCAAACAGG
rnacentral:rRNA from 1 species